GUGGGGAAUAUUGGACAAUGGGGGGAACCCUGAUCCAGCCAUGCCGCGUGUGUGAAGAAGGCCUUUUGGUUGUAAAGCACUUUAAGCGAGGAGGAGGCUACCGAGAUUAAUACUCUUGGAUAGUGGACGUUACUCGCAGAAUAAGCACCGGCUAACUCUGUGCCAGCAGCCGCGGUAAUACAGAGGGUGCAAGCGUUAAUCGGAGUUACUGGGCGUAAAGCGCGCGUAGGUGGACAAUUAAGUCAAAUGUGAAAUCCCCGAGCUUAACUUGGGAAUUGCAUUCGAUACUGGUUGGCUAGAGUAUGGGAGAGGAUGGUAGAAUUCCAGGUGUAGCGGUGAAAUGCGUAGAUAUCUGGAGGAAUACCGAUGGCGAAGGCAGCCAUCUGGCCUAAUACUGACACUGAGGUGCGAAAGCAUGGGGAGCAAACAGGAUUAGAUACCCCAGUAGUCC
rnacentral:rRNA from 1 species